CCAAGAGCAACACUCCUUAAUCCGCAAACAUUAAUCCGCCCCCAAGCCUCCAGGUACAGUAUUGGCAACGCGUGGUUCCUGACCGGGUGAUGCUCCUCGAAUCGUUUCACCCUCAAGAGGGAUGAACGAAGCACCGCGAGGAGGAAGGCAUUCUGCUUCGUGUACGUGCGUGACGUCAAUAUGUCCAAGAUAAUAAGAUGGCCGGCGAUAAAGUGACUUUUAGACAUCGACGAGACGAGGUCCGCGGAGCCAGGAGAAGAGUCGAAGGAAAUGAUGGAGGCACGGACGAAGAAAGGAAAAGAUACUGCAACGCAGCAGAGGAAGAAAGGAAUCGUAAGGUCGUCGUUCCUGCGGAUGAUGAAGUGGCCCUCUUGUUAUCCCUAAAUACCACGCGCGGCUCAUGAGCAAACACCGACCGCAGUGAGACUGCCCGCCGGUUAACACCGCCGGUCCCUAUGGGGCCCCAUAAGACCCGCGCCUUAGGGGGGCCCGAGCCCCCACUGGCUUCUAGCACCCUUGUUCAACCCAUUAUAAACAAGGCCUGUCUGGACCCCAAUGCAUUAUCCCGAUAUUCCUGCUUCAGCGCCAGAUUCGGGACUCGCGCCGCUCCUAUCCGCCCCCCUCGUCCCCCUGUCUUCUCGUUUCCACCUUCUCUCGUACCCGGUGCCACGGCGUACUUGCGUAAUCAACGAGAG